rnacentral:rRNA from 1 species
UACAGGGGGGGCAAGCGUUAUUCGGAAUUAUUGGGCGUAAAGGGCGCGUAGGCGGCCUGGCAAGUGGAAGGUGAAAUCCCUCGGCUUAACCGAGGAACUGCCCUCCAAACUGCUUGGCUUGAGUCCGGGAGAGGUGAGUGGAAUUCCCAGUGUAGCGGUGAAAUGCGUAGAUAUUGGGACGAACACCAGUGGCGAAGGCGGCUCACUGGACCGGAACUGACGCUGAGGCGCGAAAGCGUGGGGAGCAAACGGG